ACCUGGGUGGCUCAGUGGGUUGAGCAUCUGAUUUCGGCUCAGGUCAUGAUCUCACAGUUCGUGGGUUCAAGCCCUACACUGGGCU
rnacentral:tRNA from 1 species